rnacentral:rRNA from 1 species
UGUCUAUUAAUUGUAGACCUGUAUGAAAGGCAAAAUGAGAGUCCACCUGUCUCUUAUAAUAAAUCAAUUAAACUGAUCUCCUAGUAAAAAAGCUAGAAUACCAACAUAAGACCAGAAGACCCUGUGAAGCUUAAACUAAACUAUUAAACCCUAUAAUACCUACUUUCGGUUGGGGCGACCUUGGAAAAAAAAAGAACUUCCAAACUCAUGACCAUAACUCAUAUGCCAGGCCAACAAGCCUAUACACGACCCAGUACAACUGACAACUGAAACAAGUUACUCCAGGGAUAACAGCGCUAUCUUCUUCAAGAGUCCAUAUCAAAAAGAAGGUUUACGACCUCGAUGUUGGAUCAGGACAUCCUAAUGGUGCA